rnacentral:rRNA from 1 species
AGGAAAUAGAUACCCCGGUAGUCCACGCCCUAAACGAUGUCAACUGGUUGUUGGUGGGGUUAAACCCAUUAGUAACGAAAGCUAAACGCGUGAAAGUUGACCGCCUGGGGAGUACGGCCGCAAGGUUAAAACUCAAAGGAAUUGACGGGGACCCGCACAAGCGGUGGAUGAUGUGGAUUAAUUCGAUGCAAACGCGAAGAACCUUACCUACCCUUGACAUGCCAGGAAGCCGGGUGAGAGCUCGGUGUGCCCGAAAGGGAGCCUGGACACAGGUGCUGCAUGGCUGUCGUCAGCUCGUGUCGUGAGAUGUUGGGUUAAGUCCCGCAACGAGCGCAACCCUUGUCACUAGUUGCUACGGGAAAGCUGAGCACUCUAGUGAGACUGCCGGUGACAAACCGGAGGAAGGUGGGGAUGACGUCAAGUCCUCAUGGCCCUUAUGGGUAGGGCUUCACACGUCAUACAAUGGCGCAUACAGAGGGCUGCCAACCCGCGAGGGGAGCCAAUCCCAGAAAGUGCGUCGUAGUCCGGAUUGCAGUCUGCAACUC